AGCAAGAUGAGGAGAUAAAGUCGAAGUGAAGUGGACAUGGAUCCUGGUUUUCCCGAGUUCUCAAAGCACGGGUCAGAACAGAAGCACAAGAAGAACAUGAAACAAAGACGGAUUCAGUUGUUUGAGUUUUGUACGUGAAGUGUUUGGUUUUGGUUUUGGGGUUUUUUUGGCCUUUCUUAGAUUUUGCAAGAUCUAUGUGCAUGAAAUAGCUAUAUCUUAGAUAAUAAACUUUUUUUU
rnacentral:lncRNA from 1 species